rnacentral:rRNA from 1 species
CCUACGGGAGGCAGCAGUGGGGAAUUUUGGACAAUGGGCGAAAGCCUGAUCCAGCAAUGCCGCGUGUGUGAAGAAGGCCUUCGGGUUGUAAAGCACUUUUGUCCGGAAAGAAAUCCUUGGCUCUAAUACAGUCGGGGGAUGACGGUACCGGAAGAAUAAGCACCGGCUAACUACGUGCCAGCAGCCGCGGUAAUACGUAGGGUGCGAGCGUUAAUCGGAAUUACUGGGCGUAAAGCGUGCGCAGGCGGUUUGCUAAGACCGAUGUGAAAUCCCCGGGCUCAACCUGGGAACUGCAUUGGUGACUGGCAGGCUAGAGUAUGGCAGAGGGGGGUAGAAUUCCACGUGUAGCAGUGAAAUGCGUAGAGAUGUGGAGGAAUACCGAUGGCGAAGGCAGCCCCCUGGGCCAAUACUGACGCUCAUGCACGAAAGCGUGGGGAGCAAACAGGAUUAGAUACCCUUGUAGUC